rnacentral:rRNA from 1 species
GACGAACGCUGGCGGCGUGCUUAACACAUGCAAGUCGAACGAUGAAGCCUUAGCUUGCUUUGGUGGAUUAGUGGCGAACGGGUGAGUAACACGUGAGCAACGUGCCCAGGACUCUGGAAUAACCGCGGGAAACCGUGGCUAAUACCGGAUAGGUGCCGAGGCCGCAUGGUCUUCGGUUGGAAAGUUUUUGCGGUUCUGGAUCGGCUCACGGCCUAUCAGCUUGUUGGAGGGGUAAUGGCCUACCAAGGCGACGACGGGUAGCCGGCCUGAGAGGGUGACCGGCCACACUGGGACUGAGACACGGCCCAGACUCCUACGGGAGGCAGCAGUGGGGAAUAUUGCACAAUGGGCGCAAGCCUGAUGCAGCAACGCCGCGUGGGGGAUGACGGCCUUCGGGUUGUAAACCUCUUUUAGUAGGGAAGAAGCGCAAGUGACGGUACCUGCAGAAAAAGCACCGGCUAACUACGUG